rnacentral:rRNA from 2 species
UGGAUCCAGACUUUGAUUCUGGCUCAGGACGAACGCUGGCGGCGUGCUUAACACAUGCAAGUCGAACGGAGAACUUAUUUCGGUAAGUUCUUAGUGGCGAACGGGUGAGUAACGCGUGGGCAACCUGCCCUCCAGUUGGGGACAACAUUCCGAAAGGGAUGCUAAUACCGAAUGUGCUCCCUCCUCCGCAUGGAGGAGGGAGGAAAGAUGGCCUCUGCUUGCAAGCUAUCGCUGGAAGAUGGGCCCGCGUCUGAUUAGCUAGUUGGUGGGGUAACGGCUCACCAAGGCGAUGAUCAGUAGCCGGUCUGAGAGGAUGAACGGCCACAUUGGGACUGAGACACGGCCCAAACUCCUACGGGAGGCAGCAGUGGGGAAUCUUCCGCAAUGGACGAAAGUCUGACGGAGCAACGCCGCGUGAGUGAUGAAGGUCUUCGGAUUGUAAAACUCUGUUGUUAGGGACGAAAGCACCGUGUUCGAACAGGUCAUGGUGUUGACGGUACCUAACGAGGAAGCCACGGCUAACUACGUGCCAGCAGCCGCGGUAAUACGUAGGUGGCAAGCGUUGUCCGGAAUUAUUGGGCGUAAAGAGCAUGUAGGCGGGCUUUUAAGUCUGACGUGAAAAUGCGGGGCUUAACCCCGUAUGGCGUUGGAUACUGGAAGUCUUGAGUGCAGGAGAGGAAAGGGGAAUUCCCAGUGUAGCGGUGAAAUGCGUAGAUAUUGGGAGGAACACCAGUGGCGAAGGCGCCUUUCUGGACUGUGUCUGACGCUGAGAUGCGAAAGCCAGGGUAGCAAACGGGAUUAGAUACCCCGGUAGUCCUGGCCGUAAACGGUGGAUACUAGGUGUAGGAGGUAUCGACCCCUUCUGUGCCGGAGUUAACGCAAUAAGUAUCCCGCCUGGGGACUACGAUCGCAAGAUUGCAACUCAAAUGAAUUGAC